rnacentral:rRNA from 1 species
AACGAACGCUGGCGGCGUGCCUAACACAUGCAAGUCGAACGAGACCUUCGGGUCUAGUGGCGCACGGGUGCGUAACGCGUGGGAACCUGCCCUUAGGUUCGGAAUAACUCCCCGAAAGGGGUGCUAAUACCGGAUAAUGUCUUCGGACCAAAGAUUUAUCGCCUUUGGAUGGGCCCGCGUUGGAUUAGCUAGUUGGUAGGGUAAAAGCCUACCAAGGCGACGAUCCAUAGCUGGUCUGAGAGGAUGAUCAGCCACACUGGGACUGAGACACGGCCCAGACUCCUACGGGAGGCAGCAGUGGGGAAUAUUGGACAAUGGGCGAAAGCCUGAUCCAGCAAUGCCGCGUGAGUGAUGAAGGCCUUAGGGUUGUAAAGCUCUUUUACCCGGGAUGAUAAUGACAGUACCGGGAGAAUAAGCUCCGGCUAACUCCGUG